rnacentral:rRNA from 1 species
AACGAACGCUGGCGGCAGGCUUAACACAUGCAAGUCGAACGAACUCUUCGGAGUUAGUGGCAGACGGGUGAGUAACGCGUGGGAAUAUACCUUUCGGUACGGAACAACAGUUGGAAACGACUGCUAAUACCGUAUGCGCCCUAUGGGGGAAAGAUUUAUCACCGAAGGAUUAGCCCGCGUUGGAUUAGCUAGUUGGUGGGGUAAAGCCUACCAAGGCGACGAUCCAUAGCUGGUCUGAGAGGAUGAUCAGCCACACUGGGACUGAGACACGGCCCAGACUCCUACGGGAGGCAGCAGUGGGGAAUCUUAGACAAUGGGGAAACCCUGAUCCAGCCAUGCCGCGUGAGUGAUGAAGGCCUUAGGGUUGUAAAGCUCUUUCGCUGGGGAAGAUAAUGACGGUACCAGUAAAGAAGCCCCGGCUAACUUUCGUGCCAGCCGCCGCGGUAA